GGUCGCGUAGCUCAACUGGACAGAGCGCUGGUUUCCUAAACCGUAGGUCGCAUGUUCGAGUCAUGCCGGGAUCGCCA
rnacentral:tRNA from 1 species